rnacentral:rRNA from 1 species
GAUGAACGCUGGCGGCGUGCCUAACACAUGCAAGUCGAGCGCGAUGUAUAUGGACGAAACUUCGGGCUAGGAAAUAUAUUGACAGCGGCGGACGGGUGAGUAACGCGUAGGCAACCUGCUCCAAACACAGGGAUAGCCUCGGGAAACCGGGAUUAAAACAUGAUAAUGCCAAAUAGUCACCUGGAAGAUUGGCUAAAGAUUUAUCGGUUUGGGAUGGGCCUGCGGCUGAUUAGUUUGUUGGUGGGGUAACGGCCGACCAAGACUAAGAUCAGUAGCCGACCUGAGAGGGUGAUCGGCCACAUUGGAACUGAGACACGGUCCAAACUCCUACGGGAGGCAGCAGUGGGGAAUAUUGCACAAUGGGCGAAAGCCUGAUGCAGCAACGCCGCGUGAGCGAUGAAGGCCUUUGGGUCGUAAAGCUCUGUCCUUGGGGAAGAAACAAAUGACGGUACCCAAGGAGGAAGCCCCGGCUAACUACGUGCCAGCAGCCGCGGUAA